GGCUGGAGAAGGCUGCAGGUGAUAUUGGUAUGGAAAACAGGGGCUCGUGAGCCUUCUGAUCACCCCUGCAUGCAAGACGACAGGAAAAAACAAGCUGCAACUGAUGGGAUUUGCACUGACAAGUCAGUGCUUAAGCCCAUUCAACAUAAAGAUGAAGAUACAAAACUUCUCCUUUCACUGAGAAAAAACAAGCAGCUGUUGGGACAACAAUGAGAGAGGACAAGCUGAGGCAAGGCAGGAGGACCCCUUAGGAAGGAAGAACUGCGGGAUAAAGCGUAGCUGAGUGAAUGAACCGUGCAUGAGAGGACGGAAAGCUGGAAUAACAACCCAAACUGUUGGCCAAAAGCCCCAUGUAUCUGUCUGAUGCCAAAUGUCUGAAUCUUCUGAGAGUCCCCAAUACAGAAUCCCAGCCAGUACAACCAUUGCCUGUUUGGACUUGACUGCAAAUUCCCAUCUGCUUUAUUAAGCUGCUCUCAUUUGAUCUUUAGCCACAUACGUCUCUGCAGUUUACUACAAAUGGAAGACUUUCUAUCUUGCCAAUGCCAAUGAACAUUGCCUGCCAGGGCUGGCAACUGGGAAUUGUACGGACAUGAACACAUUCAGAAACCCAGCACAUGAGGCAAAACCUUUUGUGGUGUGACAUUAAUCCUAACGAUACCUCAGUAAGAACAAUACAAUGCUUGCAGAAACAUUAAGUUAGUAUAUCAGUGAUUGGAUAGUGGAAUGGAGUGAGUUAAAAUACGAGAGAUCUGUAAGGUGUCUGAGAGACUGCAGAAUCCACAAUCGAUCAGGCAGCCAGAACUGGAAAAUUAGAACAUGCCUUGUAACAACUCAGUAGACUGAAAUGCACAGAAUCAGCAAGAAUUUUAAAUUGGUUGAUUUUUUGUUAUAUUGGUCAUUUAUUUACAUUUUUUGCUUUUUACAAAUGUCCUAUUAUAUAUUAUGUGAAUACAGUCUAUUUACACUUGCAUAAUUUGAAGAACAGAUAAGUGAAAUAGCUGUAUGCUAAUGCUCUUGCCAUCUAUAAAAGUAGCCUAAAUUAACUACAGUUUUGAGCUGAUCUCAGUAAUGAGCUUACAGUGAACUUCUGUAAGAAUGGCAUGUUUUUAAAUGAGACAAAGCAAAAUAAAAAAAAAAAAAAAAAAAAAGGAAAGCAGGUUUUAUCUUGUAUCCAGUAAUGUAGAAUACUUACUUAACUUUCCAACCAGAGCAAGUAAAAGGUGACAAAAACCCCUAAAUGAUAAAAACGGGUAAACCAGAAAUUUUAAAAGCUCAUAAACCACUUCCCCACCCUGUCUAUUGUAGUCGUCCUUUCAGUUUAAUCAAGCAUUUUCUGGACUGCAUGAAACUCUGCACGAUCCUCUUCAGCCUUAGGGUUUCACCGUCACCUCUCAGGUGUGGGUUUUGUCUGCUCCCUGUCCCUCCCGGCAGCGUCUCCCUGGGAACCGCAGGCUCCAGCUCUUUGCCUCUGCCCCCAAGUCUGUGGGCUCCAAGACCCCUCCAGGAAGAGUCUCAGCUACUCCCAAGAGAAAGAACAAUCUGCCCCGGAGGAUCUGAUCCACUUACUUGCUUUCUGAAGUAACAUAGCACACAAACUGAAAACAAACCAAAUGAACGGAUGCUCUCCAUUGGCCCCUGCAAUCCCUCGGAUACAAUUUGCAUUGUGGUCCAAUAUAAACAAUCCCUGUAGUUCACUAUUCUUCAUGUACACAAAGAGCUGUUUAAAAAAGAAAAAAGAAUUGCUAUGUCUUCUGCCUUAUAGCAAAACCAUAUAGGAAAAAUCCUUAGAGCUUAGAAUGUAAUAACUAUUUAUUGAGAUGGAUGAUUUGUCUGCAAUGAACAUUUCUCCCCUACUCUCCGCUAUACAAUAAACUGACUGAGUUGUA